rnacentral:lncRNA from 1 species
UCAAAUUUAUGUGCUGGAAAAACAUCUUACUGCAGCUUAAGUUACAGAAUAAAUGGAUAGGGAUAAUAAAUACUACUAAAAAAUUAACUUUGAACAAUAUGUCUUGGGAUCUUUCAUAAGGGCCUCUAUUUCUUUUCAAGUGCUAUUAUUGGCAGUAUUUGACCGUAAUAGUUGCAACUGCUUUAGUUUGUUUCAUUGUAUUUUGAGCAUUAGUCUCUUUAAAUUUUACCAAGGAAAAGUCUUGUAUCUUAUUUAUUUGAAAUUGGAUCAACACUGAUUAUAUGAUUAUUAACUCAAUCAUUCAUUAUUCCUUCUCUUCCGGUAGUAAUGACCCUUCCCAUUGUUAGGCGAUUCACUUAUGAUGAUAACUAUUCUUUUAAUGAUCUUUAAUGGCUAUAUUUUCUUUUCCAUAUCUCUUAGAACAAUCCUAAAAGGAUGUGAGAUUGACACGAAUGAGGUACGGCCUCAUCCAAGAACAAAAUUGAUCACUUUUUGUCCCUUGACAAUCUCUCUAGUUUCUAGUUGAGGUUAAGUGAUGGGAAUGACUAACCACACUCACAAACGUUUAUUUGUAUGGCCAUUGCAAGCAUGCUGCUUGCAUAGACAAUCCAUUUCUAAAUAGUUGCAUAGAAUGUUUACUUAUUGGUAUUAAAUAUUCUUGUUUGAAUAAGAGGUUUUCUUUAAUGGUUAAGUAAGCUCCUGAAGGUGACAAGUACAAGGUUGCACGAACGUGGGGCCGUAUCAAUAUUGUUACUUGGAAAUGGUUUGAUCAGUCCAUAGCCAGAAAAGGUAGUAGUUCGGGUUGUAUAUUUGAAGACCGAUAUGAUAUUUGAAUUGUUGGCAGUUAUUUGUCAAAUAAGUUGGCAGUUAUUUGUCAAAUAAUUUUAUUAGUUUCUAACUUGUUUCAAAUCCUUUUAUCUCGUUUUUAAUUGAUAGGAUGUCUUAAUGAGGAUUUGUACCGUGUUGGUAGCGUUUCUGGAACUUAAAAUAAAUUGACAAGGGUUUGCUUGACUGCUCACAAUGGCCAAGAAAAGGUUAUUGUGAACUCAGCUGUACCGUCCUCAUUUCUUGCCGAUUCAAAAUUCACAGCAGUUGCUGGUCCUUGGUUUUCAGACAUGGAUGUUGAAGUUACUCUUUCACAGAGCACGCCUAUGUUUUCAGAUGCUUCUCAUUUUAUAAAUGAGGUUGAUGUUGAAGUGCCAGUCGCGAUGGGAAGGAAUGAAGAAAACACUGUUAAUUACCUUGCAAAUGACUUUCCGUCUGAAGAAAACGACCUAUAUUUGUCAGCAUGUAGAAUAAAAGUUGUUGGGUUUGAAGCUUCUGAGAUGCAGAAGAUUGUAAAUAUGAUUCUCAGAGGUGGAGGCUUCCGAUACAUGUUGUUCAAUGACAAAUUAACACACAUAAUAGCAACUGGCUUGAAGAUUGUGAUCGUCAGAAGAAGGAGAUCCCUAUUCUUGGUAGACACAUGGCAUAUGAUGAACUUAUUCCUAAAGGUUUGAUAUGCAAGACUCGUAUUCUAAGCUAUCUGUCUUUUGAAUAGCAAUCUUAAACUACCAUCAUGCAGAAUAACUGCACAUUUCAUCUGGAUGCAUGACUAAUAUUUGUUUGGAGAUCCCUAGCCUGUUUGUCUUGUUCUAAAUUUUCUGGCUGUUUACUUUGCAGCAUCUAGUAAAAUGAGCACCAUUGUUAUGGAUCGGAAUAAAGUUCCAAAUGUUCAUCCAAUCGUGCCAUCAAAUGUGUCAGAAGGAAAUAUUCAUGUUAACAUUGGAAAGACGUCAAUAGCAGUGGAAAGAAUUGAAGAAAAAAGUGAAUGGAGACAGGAAAAUGAAAUUAUCCCAGAAAAGCCAACAAUGUGUAGCAAAUGGUACAAACAAGAGUCAAGAAAAGAUGGGGCGUGAUUUCAUGGUUUUGUUUUUCUAGUUCCUUUCAGAAGAUCGGGUAUGUUGUAAAGAUUCUUUCCUCUUAUUUCAAACAGCAUGAUUAAUGUACACUAUGCACUUUAGGUUUUAGAUGUAUUAUUGUGGUAAAUAGCAUCCAUUUUUUAAAAAAUAACAAAGUAGGAGCCCUGUAUUCAAUAUCAGUUGACUUGAGUAAAGAGUAGUUCAUUAGUGCUCCAACUCCAUGAUUUUAAAAGCAAGUCAAUGGUGCAGGUAGGAUUCUAGAUCUACCGUUUCUUUAACAAUCGGAUCCUGUUAAGAGAAUGAUAUAAAAAAAAAUGGAAAAAUGACCUUUUUAGUCCCCAAUUUUAUAAAAAUAGGUUUAUUUGGUCCUUGAGUUUUCAAAAUGUACUAUUUUAAUCCUUGAGUUCUCAAUGUUGUAUUGGAGACUCUCAAAACCAAUUUUUAGAAGAAGUUAUUCUACCUUAAAAAUGUAUAAAGUUAUAUUGGGGACUUUCUAAACCAAUUUUUAUAAACUCAGAGACUAAAAAGGUGCAUGACCAAGUGGGCCUAUUUUUUUAAACCUAGAGACUAAAAAGUGUACAUUUUUAAAACUUAGGAACCAAACACAUGUGUUCUUCAAAACUUGGGGAGUAUUUUUCCUAAAAAAUUUAAGAUAAUGCCAAAUGUCAUUUAUCAUGUGAAGUAAUUACGAUUUCAUUUUUCAUUUGAGGAAUAUGCCUUCAAAUUUUUUUCCAUUUUAUUUUUGAACACUAACAAACGUACAUCAACUUUUGACUUCCAUAAUCCCAAAUAUUUUUUAUGUAUAUUCUGAGAUCAUAUUUGAAAUUCUCCUACUAGAGAGCUGAAAUUGUUGAAUGGAUAAAUCAAGGGGGAGGCGAGGUUGUUGAAGAUCACAUGAAGCAGAAAGUGCACUUCACUGUUGAAUGUCAUGGUGGGAUACCAAGGAGUACAGACGUUCAUAGUACUUACGUGUCAAGUCAUUGGGUUCAAUCAUGUUUAGAGGUAAACUAUAAUAAUUAAUUGUCUUAUUUGUGAUUUCUGUUUUAGAACUCUACUAUUGGGUUUUGUUUGUGUUUCCCUUUUUGGACAUAAAAGUCCACACAAGGUUGAAUAGCAUAUUUUGUUUCAUUUAGCCACUGCAAGUUUGGAUUGUGUUUGGGUUGGAGUUUUGAAUUUUGAGGGACUUUAGUUUUGUGUUAGCCACGCUCUUAUAAUAUGAAGGAUGGAUACUAGUUUUUCCAAAACCAAACACACAUCAGUUUUCUAAGAUUACAACAACUGUUCUCCCAGCGUAAAAAAAGGUAUCCUCAAACCAACUAAAAGAAGGGGAAUAUAUGAGCAAGAUUUAUAGUUAAUAAAUCAUCAAAAGUAAAUUAGAGUUGGACUCGAGAACUCUUGCUGAUGUAUAGGAAAAGCAGACAAGGUAUGGGAAUAUAAAUUAAAACAGCCUUUAGAUGAAGAGGGCUGCUAGAACUGAUCCUACCUCAAAUGGCGCUACCAAAAUAUAGGACUUGAAUCUUCUCCCUCGCCCGUUGUUCUCGGCGAUGUUAAAGUAUCUCAAUUCAUAGACAUUCAUCUCCUUGUUUGAAGCAAUAACUCCAAGGCCAAUCUCAAAUGUUGUGUUUCUUGAAAUUCUUCUUAGCCAAGUAUUUAAGAUUCCUCUUGGAGAAGUAGCUACUGAAGUUGAUGUUGAUCUUGUUCUUGUCCUGAGUGAUAGUGACUGAGUCACCAAGUGUCUCUGCCACCCCAGCUUUGUUGGUGCUUUCAAGAAGAAAUGUCUCUGACGAGGUGAUGGCCGUGAUCUUGUCCUCAACUGGCAUCACACAAUCAAAUGGUCACACCCUUAUUUUUUCCCUUUGGGCCACCAGAUGUGGCUGGUCCAUGACUCAUUCUGCUUCUGAUCUGCUACUUGUUUCCCUAACUCUGCAUCUGUAUAGAACAAUUGGCAUAAAAUGGUGGAUACUAUUAAAUUGAAAAAUGGAGAUUCAAUCAGUUCUAUCAUUUUGACCUUUUAAUGUUUAGGGGAAGGUGGUAACAUAAAUUUACCUUCUCAGACUAUCCAUUAAGGUUGGUUGGAAAAGAAAAGGGUGGUCUAUCUUGGAAAACAUAUUUGGUUGUUCUCUUUUUUCUUCACUCUGUCUACAUUUUGGAAAUAUGAAUGCUAUCAUAGUGUGAGAGGUUUCUUUAUCGACAAAAUUAAUUGGAGUUCGAAAUUUGAAGAAGUCUUUCUAUGACUGUCCCUUGAACUCCAAAGGUUUGCACUCCAUCCCUGUGCCAAACAAAUAGAUGCUUCUUAAAUAUUUUUCUGGAGGAAUUGAGAAAGUAUUGAUGCAAACUUCUGUUAAAUGCGUUAAAUUACGGCUUUCAAGCCAAUUUUGAAUGGAUAGCUGGAGUAGAAACUGCCAUUAUUGAUGAAAUUUGAUACUACUGAUGAUUUUUAUUUUUAAUUUUAUAUUAUUAUUAAUUUUUAACUUAAUUAUGUUCAAUAUCUUAAACCGAUAUUUGAAAUGAGAAUUGAAUAUUUAUCUUGUUUUUAUUUGUUACUGACUAUUUCAAAUAAAUUCGUUAUGAAGGAUGGAUGUUUGUGGGAUACCAAUGGGCACAUUCUCUAUUCUCCUCUUCCUUGUUGUGUCCCUUUGCCUGGAUUUGAAAACAUACGGUUUUGUGUUUCACAAUAUGAUGAUAAAGACAGAGUAUUGUUAAGAAAUCUGUGUUUUGUACUUGGGGCCAAGUUUGUGGAGAAGCUGACAAAGAAGGUAACCCAUCUAAUAUGCAAGUUCACGGAUGGGACAAAGUAUGAGGCUGCUUGUAAAUGGGGGAAACAAUGCAUUACAGCUGAAUGGAUAUAUGAGUGUGUCAGACAAGGAACUUUGCGAUUUUGUUGCUUUUCAAUUAUAUAUGUUCAUAUACAUGCAUAUCCUGAUAGAAUUCUAGACCCAUUGUGUUUAUAUUUCUUCUCUUAGAUAUGGAAUGAUUUUGUUUGAAUACAAAAUUUUCAGAGAAAGAUUGUUUCUCUUGAUUUGUAUCGCCCAAAAGAAGUUACAGCUCAAGACAGAGUGACAUGCUUGUGCACUGUCAGCCAAUUUCCUACUCAAGCUGCCCCAAUGAUAGCCAAUGAAAGCGUAUCCCAGUUUCCUAUCCAUUCUGCCAUUCUGAGAGACCAAUCAGCUGGAACUAACAGUAGCUCUAUAGGAGCAGCUGAACGAAUAAGUUCUACUAAAAGAAGGCGCAAGUUAUUUGACGAAGCCAUACAAAAGCGUUCAGUUUUUGUUGGAAACAGUUCCACUCAAUCUGACUGCAAUUUGAAUUCCACAAAACAAACUACAUCAAAAUCUUCUGUAGUAACUUCACACGUUCCUGAUGUCGCUUCCGCAAUCGAGGACUUGUUGGAGCAGACAACUAAGGUAAAAUCUGGUUUGAGCUUCAAUUCCAUUACUUCAUUCCAUUUUUAUUUUUAUUUUUUCCUUCAAAUCCUUUUGUUUUCCAUUCUUUUUAAGAUUCAAGAUCAGAAGUCACCUGGAAAGACUGGCUGCGACAAAAGUGUAUCCUUCUAUUAGGUUUAAACUAACUAGUGGACAUGGCCAUUCUUAGCUCUUACAUCCAAAGCAGUUAGUCGUACGAGGACAAUUUCUUUUUCUUUGUCUGUUUUACUGAGUCAAAAGCAGCCUUUAGGUUUCAUUAUUACAUUCUGGUGGAGCGAGAGAAAGAACAGAAUCGUCAAAGGGUGUGAGAGUCCUUAUUGCGAUGUUUGAUCCCUUACUGAAUUCUUUGUUUCUUCUGGGACAUUUGUUUUGUUAUUAUUUGCUAGACCUUAUCUCUUUAUUGGAGCCUUUUUUGCACUUUGGUUCUUUUUGUGGGCUUUCUUUUUUAUGUCCGUUUAUUCUUUCAUUUUUUCUAAAUGAAAAUUAAGUUUUUUUUUUUAAAAGAAAAAGUUAUUAAAUGCAUCUGCAUUUAAAUAGUAUCUAGUGAUAGACUUUAGUAUCUUAUCGUUGGUUCCCACUCCACCUAAUCUAUUAUUACAUGCAUCUGUGUGCUUGUGUUCUAAUUCCUUCUAAACUAUUUUUACGGGAUUUUCAUAGCCAUGUCUUUGAAGAACUCCCCCUUUUCCUUCCCCAGAAGAAAGUUCACUCACAGUAUGUUCAUUCAGCUGUUGUGAUUAGUUUGUAGAAUUGAGAGGAGCAUUGCCCAUGGUUUAUCUUUUUUGGUAUUUUCAAUUCAUUUUUAAGACAAAUGUUGAUGUUUUAUUUUUGGUGUAGCUGACUUACUUUGCCAUGGACUAUAAGAGCUAAUUGUUCAAACACGUGAAUUUAGGUUCAUCAUCAAAAACCACCGUAGCCGAUCGUGUUGUAAUUCUAGCCAACACCAUCUUUGUUGGUAAAAUUGUACUUUCUAGUUUCCUUUGCCCUUAUCUGUAAAGUCUAUAUGAUUGCUUUUAGGACCUGCUAUAUUGAAGAACAUCUUAUCCAUCCAAUAUGUAAAGAAAUGGAUAUUUUGUUACCGGGAUCCAGAAUGGGCUGAUGUGAAGCUCGCUCAGGCUAAGUAUCUUUUAUCACGCCUAGCUCGAUUCAAAUCUUUAGUUGCUGAAAAGUUUGAAUGCACCCUCAGUACUUUUGGCUGGCGAUUUCAAUUCAACCCCAGGAGAUAAGGUUUGUAUUCUAUCUCGAUUUAUCAUUUGCAUUGAAUUUCCUCUUUCUGAAGAUAUGGUAUAUAGCUAUUUCAUUGUUAUUAUCAUGUCUAAAUUACAAGUUUAGUCCUUGAACUUUGUGUCUCCUUGAUUGCUUAACUUUCCAAAAGUAUCUAAAAGAUCUGCAUGCUUUCAAUUUUGUGUAACCAAGUCUCAAAUUUUAAAUUCAUGCAUUUAAUAGGUUCCAUUGAAGUUGAGAAUCAUUGUAAACCUAGAUCUUUCUUUUUUUUCUUUGCUAUGGUUAAAUUAUAUGUUAAUGUUUUGUUCUGUUACAAUUUUGUUCCUAUCAAUAUUGAUUAGUAUUAAAGUUAGUAUACUAUUUUGGACGUUGUUAGUUCUUGUACAUUUAUAUGUCGUACUAUCAGUACAUCUUAAAUUUAGUUCAUCUGGUUUCAACAAAUCGUAACAACAUUUGAAGACAUUAUUUAUCAAAUUGGUUAAAGUAAUUUUUUUAAAACAAUAAAGUAAUAGUAAUAACUAAGUUAAGAUUUAUAAAAAAUAUAGAAUUAAGAUGGUACAAAAGUAUUCCUCCUCAUUCUGCUUCAUGAGGAGAAAGGUCAUCUUUUUAUCGCUUUCAUGCUUCCUGGCUCGUGGGUUUUGGUUUUGAAGACUUUUUGUAAUUACUCUAUAGGUGUUAAUUUGAUAGUUGGAGUGCGUUCCAUAGGUUAUUUUUUCCCUUCCUUUUCCUUUUUGUAAUUACUCCAUGGUAGUACUUGAAUCUCAUCUCAUCACAACUUCCAAAACCAUCUAGGACUGUUGCAUAAUUAAUGGUCCAAUGUCUGAUUAAAUUUAAACCACCAAAAUCAUGUGAAUUGAACUAUGAGAAUUGUUGAGAAGGAUUGAAUUUUAUGUUUAUUUGAAACUCAGCAUCUAAUGGACCGGCCAUUUGAAAUGAUUUUUUUAAAUGCUUUAUAAAUGCUGUUUUCUUCACUUUAGAGACUAUAAUUUAAACACAUGAGAAUGUUUAGGGCAAGGAGUUGAUAAUUCGUUAUAUAGUCUUAGGUUAUUAUAGUUUGUGCUUGAGGUGUGAAUUAUUUUAGUUUUGGUAAUAAUAUUAUGUGAUAGAAGGUAAAACAGUAAAAACGGUAGCAAAUUAGGUUUCAAAAUAGUAUUGAUGAUAGGUAAUUGGGGAUUUAUAGUCUUACUAUAGUCAGUGCCUCAAACAUUUUCGUAGAAAGUCAAUUCAAAUAUCCCUAAAUAUAGGUUCUUUUUUUGUUAUUAUCUCUUUGGACAUCCAAAAUCACAAGCUUAUAAACAAAAAAUUCUAGCAAAUAAUAAAGAAGUAGAACUCAUUACUAGCCAGCAAAUCACACUUCUUACAAACAACGUUAAAAACAAAAGGAAAAAGGCUCUUCCUUUUUCCUUUGGUUUUAAAAAAAAGUUUAAAAAGGGACCUCAAAUAUUCUUCUAGGCCUAGACAUGCAAAUAAGUUGGUUCAAUUACAAACACACUUACUACUUUCUAGUAGUAAAAUCACUCAUUCUUGAGCCUUUAUGUCCUAUGCAAUUGUCAUAUUAUGUCCUAUGCAAUUGGUCGUAUUAUUGUCAUUCAACAAGGGCUUUAAUUUUGAUCAGUGGGGAAUUUGUUUUUUUGUCCUUAUCUUUAAAUGAUGAUCACUUUAUUAUACGGAUCCAAUUGAUAAGUUAAAUAGUGAAUUUGAUAAGUAGAAUUCUGUCACAAUUAGUGUUAAGUAAAGUAAUAUAAGAAGAGUCUUUCAUUUGACACAUCACAAUUAGUGUUAAGCUAAAGUUAAUAUAAGAAGAGUCUUUCAUUUGACACAUCAUAUUUGAUGUGUGUAUAUAAUAUAGAUAUGCACAUACAAUUUUUUUUAGUUCACGUGGGUUGAGAUUUGAAACUCCAACAACCUUUUGAUAUAGAAUAUAUGAUCAAGUUGUGGCAGGUACACAUUGUGUUAUACACUUAUGUAUGUAAUAUACUGAAGAUGGACCGUUGGGCAUAUAUGACGGCUUUAGUGAAACACAAACGGAGUCUCAGGUGUGUGCCCAUCUUUCUUUUUGCCAACUAUAACUCUUAUCAAUUAUAGUAAUUUUUUUAAAAUUUGCCAUCAUUUUGACAACUUGAUUACAAGAGGACUAAAGAACGAACUACAACUCAUAAGAUUUUUUAUGGAGUGAAUUAGGGUAUUAUGGACAAAUUCUUAAUAUAUUAGGAUUAGGAUUAGGAUUAGGAUUAGUUUCUUAUAUUAAUUAGAAUUAGGAUUAGUUUGAUUUUAAUAGAGUACUUGUCUUCUUGUAUUCACAAAUUUAAAUAUUAAUAAAAUUAAGUCAUUUGGUCUACACCAUAAAAAAUGUCAUCGAUGGAAAAUUGGAAAACUUUUCGUGAUGCUGAUCACAAGAGGGAGCUUUGUGAGUUGUUCUCAUUGCUAAACAACACAAAUCUAACUGGGAGAACCCUUAAAAUUUUUUUAAAAAAAAAAAUUCAAAUUAAUUUGAUUGAAAACGUUGUUAAAACAAGCAUUGAAGAUUGUCAAUUGCAAUAAGAAAGCAUAGAUUGCAAAGAGUACGACAAGGCUUGGGCGGGGAUUCAACAGGUAUGCCUCUCCUAUAGUACUUUUUUAACAUUUUCAUCUCUGGCAGACUUGCAUAUGAAAAUGCCGAAACGUCACACCCAAGCAUAUCGACUUGAAAUUCAAAGCAACUACCUAAACUACGUACAAGACAUAAAGACAAGAUAAAUUGGGGCUAAUCUGAGCAUAUGGCCAUAGGUAAACACACCUUGGACAAGUAUGUCUGUAACUUGAGGACACAUUCAGGCUUGUCCCUAAGAAAGUGAAUAACUCUGUCCAAAAGGCGCCAAUGAACCGUCCAUCUCGAUCACUCACAAUGCUUGUCGGUACACCCCACAGCUUCAUAAUAUGUCUAAAGAAUAAUUGAGCUGUUAACUCCGCCGAACACUGCUUCGUAGUGGGAACAAAAGUGACAUAUUUCGAGAAUCAAUCUAUAAUGACUAAUAUAGUCUCAUAGUCGCCUACUUUUGGAAGAUGUGUGAUGAAGUCUAUAGAAACACUCUCCCACGGUCUCGUUGGCACAGGCAGAGGUUCGAGAAGCCCAGCAACCUUUGCCUUCUCGACUUUGUCCUUGACAGACAAGACACAUCUUCGUGUAUUGCAUGAUAUCGUCUCUCAUACGGGGCCAAAAGUAUCCAUACUUCAGCAAGACAUAUGUCCUCUGUCAUCCGGGGUGGCCAGCCCACAGAGUGUCCUGACACUCGUGUAGCAACUUCUUCUCAGGUCUCCUCCCCUAGGGACAUACAACCGUCUCCCCUUCGUCACUAACAACCCAUCUUAACCCAAAACUGCCUUGUUUUACCUGCCUCAGCUAAACUCAUGACACUCUGAGCCGCAGAAUGCUUCUGAACUCCCUCAAGAAAUCGCGCAUAGGACCAUUAAUCUUGCUUGCGUAGAGAUGUGCUAACAUGCACAAAGCAACGUGUUCACCUCUUCGACUAAGCGCAUCAGCGGCCUGAUUGCUCACCCCUUUCUUGUGUUCAAACUCAAAAUCAAACUCAGUUAGGAAUUCCUGCCAUCUAGCUUGUUUUGAAGUCAACUUCGGUUGCGUAAAGAAGUGACAAGUAGCACUAUUGUCCGUCCAACAAAAAGUUGACCCCAAUAAGUACUGUCUCCAGGCCCUUAAGCAAUGUACUACGACAAGCAUUUCUUUCUCGGACACGGUGUACCUCCUCUCCGUGUCAUUCAACUUUCGACUCUCAUAAGCGAUGGGGUCUCCAUUCUGCAGGAGUACACCACCCAAUGCGUAAUCAGACGCAUCGGUCUCUACUUCAAAUGGUUGGGUCACAUCUGCGAUCCCAAGAAUUGGCCCCUUGACCAUAGCUUGCUUCAGUUCAUCGAAGGCGACUUGACAUUCCAGUGUCCAAUUCCACUUGUUGUCCUUCUUCAGCAAGUCAGUCAACGGGCUUACUCUUUUAGAGAAUCCUUCCACGAAUCACCUGUAAUAAUUGGCUAACCCGAGGAAGGAGCGCAAGUCGGUGACUGACCUUGGUACUUCCCAAUCACGAAUCGCAAUGAUCUUUCCUUCUUCCAUACUGAUUCGACCACACUCAAUCACAUGACCCAAAAAAUUGAUCCGCUCUUGAGCAAAGGAACACAUUUCCCUCUUGACAUAUAUAGUUGGUUCUCCUUCAACUUCUGAAAAACCCUUUUGAGGUGGUCCUUGUGUUCUUCUAGCGUGGAGCUAUAAACCACUAUAUCGUCCAGAUAGACCACCACAAACUUGUCAAGGUAUUCAUGGAAGACCUGGUUCAUUAGCGUACAGAACGUUGCAGGUGCAUUGGUAAGAGCAAAUGACAUGACAAGGAACUCGAACGCCCCAUACCUCGUAACGCAGGUGGUUUUGGGCUCAUCCCCUUCGACAAUUCUUACUUGAUAAUAGCCGAUCGCAAGUCUAGCUUCGAGAAAUACUUUGCUCUAUGAAGGCGAUCAAACAGGUCUUGAUUAUUGGUAACAGAUAUCUGUUGCAGACCAUGAUCUUGUUUAGGGCGCGGUAGUCGAUGCACAACCGCAUACUUCCAUCCUUCUUCUUCUGGAAAAAGACUGAGCUCAAUAUGGAGCUUUUGGAGGCCUCACAAAUCCUGCGUUCAGCAGUUUACCCAGUUGUUUCCGAAGUUCGGCCAACUCCGGCGGUGCCAUACGAUAAGCAUUCUUCGCAGGCGGUUUUGCCCCUGGCAGCAGUUCGAUCUCAUGGUCGAUCAUUCUCCGUGGAGGCAAUGAUUUCGGCAGGCUGUCUGGCAUCACAUCCUUGUACUUCUCUAAGACACUUAGGAUGUCUUUGGGGACUGUUUCCCUUGGGCUUUCGAACGACUCCAGUGGGAUAGCCAUGAAGGUUGGUUCGUCACGAGCAAGGCCUUUCUUCAACUGCGUAGCCGAGAUCAUCUUUAUCCCAUCAGGCUGACGAAUCUCCGUUUGAACAACAGUAGGCGUUGUUCCAGUAAUCACUAAACAUUUGGCUAGCGGCAUUGGUAUGACUUGAUGCUCCAGUAGAAACUUCAUACCCAGUACCACAUCCAAGUCAUCCAUCUUUGCAACCACCAAAUCUAUGGGACCGCUCCACUCUUCCAUCCUUAUGGUCGUUCGUUUUACCAACCCGACGAUAGGUAGGGCAGCUGAGUUCACGUCCUUCAUUUUUCCUGCGUCCUUCUCCCGACGGAGAUUCAGCCGUCUAGCUUCGGCUUCUACAAUGAAGUUAUGGGUGGCACCAGAAUCCACCAUAGUGCUCUUGGGUGGCUUUUGGUUGACCCAACAGUCUACGUACAUGAGACCAUUCUACGUACAUUAGGGCCCCCAUCCGAGGAUUCUCGCCCUCUUCUAUCUGUCCAACGUCUCCUUCAGUCUGACUCAAUCUAUCAUCUGAGUCCGAGGCCAGGGUGGCUUGAAAAGCGUUGAAGUCGAUACGGUUGGGGCACUCUCUGGCAAGAUGAGGUCUUUACAUAUGAAACAACUGAUGGAACGACUGGUGUUGUUUUGAUUGUUUGGUCCUCGCCAGUUGUUUCCUGUAUUCGCUUGGAAGGGCUUGCGAUCUCCACCUUGUCGCUUGUCUCCCCCUACAGUCUUCGGGGAAUUUGGGCGGUUGUUUCUGUUUCCUCUAGAGGAGGAAGCUUGAUGUCGUCUUGCAUCCUAAGAUUCACUAGAUAAGUCAAACAACCGUUCAGCCACUGCGUAUGUCGACGUGAGGUAUUGGAUUCGUUGCUCAUACAACUUGGUCCUAGCCCACGGCUUCAAUUCACGUAGUCCCGAAUGUUCCCCGUGUGCUUCAAUUCACGCAGCUUCCGUCGGGCCAGAACUUGACAUUCUCAAGAAAAAAAUUGCGAACGGAGUUCUUCUUUUAGGGCAUCCCACGUGUCGAUUGUGCAACGCCCUUCUUGAAUGUCCAUGUAUCGGGACCUCCACCAUAACUUCGCAUCUUCUGACAGAUGCGUGGUUGCCAGUGUCACCUUGGCCUCUUAAGUAAUUGUGUUCGUGGAUUUGAAAUACUGCUCGACAUCAAAGAUGAAGUUUUCCAACGCCUUGGCAUCUCUCGCCCCAUAGAAGGGCUUGGGCUCAGGAAUCUUGAUUCUGCCCGCAGGAAUGGCUCCUCCAGCUGGAGCCUGGUUUGCUAGUGCUCGCAUAGUAAGGUUCACCCUUGUGUUUACCUCUGCGAGCUCAUUCCUCACGACAUCGAGGGUUGCUCGAAAAUCUUCCGUCAUGUUGUUGAUCAUCUUCAACAUGUUCUUUUGGGAGUUAUCAAGCUCCAUAACUCGUUCUUCCAUCUCGGCAACAUAGCCCGAUUAACUGUCCCCACGCUCGUAGGUGACAUUUCCCGUUCUCAUAACUCGGGACUUUAGAGCGUCGACUCUAGUCAAUAACUCUUGGAUGGGUAGUCCGUCAAGGCGACCGAACACGACUUCAAUGCCAUCAGCUUUCUUGGCAAUAUCCUCAAGCCGCUAUUCCAAGAACCGGAUGGAAUCAGGAACUUCCACCAGGUAGAGCAUCUGCUCUUCGAUUCUCAUAAGUCGCUCAUUAUGGGUCUUGCUAGACUGUUUCGCCACCGACAUCUUUCUGUCUCGCACUGUCAACUGCCAACUUGGCUCUGAUACCAGUUGUCACAAUUGUAACCCUUCAAACACGAUGUGAACGAUUGUGCGACACUUGUUCGAACUCGACGAACAAGUCAGCCGAUCAAAAUCCGCAAAUCGCGGACAACUUUAACACACGCUUCAACCUUCCCUCACGUUCUUGGAAAAAUAUUUUUAGAAAACGUAAAAGAUGAUUAAUUUGAUUGAAAACGUUGUUAAAACAAGCAUUGAAGACUGUCAAUUCUUAGUUCUGUCCCGAAACAUCCAAAAAAGGGUCGAUGUUAUGGCCUAGAAAGAAACCACCCAGCUUAGAACAAUGUCAGAGGUCCUGAAAGUUCACAUCUACCUGUCGGAUGGCCACAUUCCGAGUAAUAUUAAAGUUUCUUGCCCACAAAAGCCGAACGGCGAUGGCCCGACCUCGGUUUUUUAGUUUCGUCCCGAAACGUUGAAAAAAUGGUCGAUGCUAUGGCCUAGAAAGAAACCACCCAGCUUAGAACAAUGUCAAAGGUCCCGAAAGUUCACAUCUAACUGCUGGGUGGCCCCAUUCCGAGGAAUAUCAAUAUUUCUUGCCGAAAAAAAUCAAACGACGAUGUCCAGACUUGAUUUUUUAGUUCCGUCCCGAAACGUUGAAAAACUAAAAUAUUAAAAUAUUGCUAUGAAUCAUAUAUUUACUCAUGGUUUUUUUUUCUUUUUGUUUUUAUUUAAGUCUUGAGUGUCUAAGAAUUAUUUGAUAUGGUACGAGUCUUCAAAAGUCACAUCCUUUUCAUUUUCUCUUUUAUAGGAUGAGUCAUCAAGACUCAUCUUUCUACACUAGAUCUCUAAUAAGUUCUAAAACAAUUGUUUUUUUUAAGAAUACAGUAUUUCAAUAAAUCAUCCAUUUUUAUUAUAAGAAUAGAAGAAGGGAGAAAAUGAAGUUUUUUUUCUUAGAGGUUGAUUAUAAUUGGUUUGAUUAUUAACACAAAAUGAUAGUUUAAGAGAUCUAUCGGUGUGAGAAUUCUUUUGUUUACCUAAUUAUUUUUUAGUAUGUUUUAAAUAAAUUUUUGUUUCGAAACUUUGUGAGAUUUUGUGGGCUUUUAUGUUUUAACGCGAGAUCUAAAAUAUCAAUGUUGAUAGAUAUAUCAAAGUUUUGAUUUUUCAAUUUCAAUGGAUGUUUUUGAAAAAUUAUAAAAAAUAAAAAGUAAAUAAAAUCAUUAAUAAAUAUUUUAUUGUUUGAAAGUGAGUAAACAUGUUUAUCAAUUAUAUUAUAUUUAUAUUAGUUUCAUUUGAUGUUUGUUUUAUGUGAUUUAUGGAUUUUUUAGGAUGUAUUAAAAAUAUCGAUUCAUCCUUCUAUUUGAUUAGGCAAGCAUUUGUUUUAUGUGAUUUGUUUUCAUUUUAAGUAUAGAAAGUUUUGGUGUAAAAAUUUGAUUAAUGAAAAUCUUUUUGAAUUUUUUUUAAGAUUUAAGGAUAUUUAUGACUAAGAUUUUUAUUUUUUUUAAAAAGUAAAAAUUUAUGCAAUAAUAUGAAAUCUUAAAAUAAUCGUUUUCUUUAUAAUCUUUUAUAUAAAAAAAGAGAAAAUAAAAAGCUUAAUGAGCAUAUCUAUCAUUUUAGGGAAAAAAGCAAAUUAAUUCAUUUUAGACAAAAUCUCAUAAUAUCAAAUUUGAUUUAUUUCUAUAAGCAUAAUCAAUAACUCAGUUCAACAUGACAGAACGAAACAUGUAAAGAUAGACACACGUUUUAUGAAGGAGAAACUUGAAAUGACACCAUUUAUAUCUCAUACAACUCCUAGUCAACAAAUAGCUUAUAUCCUCACCGUAGGGUUACUCUGGCAUACUUUGACUAUUGUGCUAGUAAUUGGACCUAAUUAAGGGUUAGUAGAGUUCUUAUAGCCCUAAGGGUUCUCCUAGAUUAAUUGAUUGUUAUCUUGUGUUGAGAAUUGAAAGCGAGUAGAAUUUGAAUCAAGAACAAUCAUUGCAAGUGCAACUAGCCAGAAUGGAACUCAAUACCGAUCACAAGAGCACAGGCAGGAGAUACGUCGAGAACUCACACGAGAGAAUCAUCAUGACAGGUAAGUCAGCCGUCCAAAAUCAUGCUCAAAACUUUGAAUUCACAUUUCUUGUCCUCACUUCCAAAUAGAUGAGGAUGCUGAGACGACUUUUGCAGGUUGAAUGGUGUUGUUUAAAACCAAUUUGAAUUGUUGAAGUCCCUUAACUUCCUAAGAUGUCUCUCCAUAUCUUGUCUAGUUUUGGUCCUCUAUUCUUUCUCGAUUACCGUGGUCGGGUCAUCUCGUUCACUCUAGAUUGCAUUGAGAGUAUAGGGAUUAAGCAAUAAAUAGAGCAUAAAAUGCAAUGAAAUCUGGUAGAUAAGAAACGGAUACGAAUGGAUGAUCUUGAAAGAGUUUCCAUUGUCUCAAACUACGAGCAAGUCGCUUCUCCUGACCCUAUCUCUUCCUCCUGGAACUGGAAGUGUGACUGUGUUAGAGCAAAAGGAAGUAGUUUAAACCUUUUAACAGACUAGAAGCAGCUUGAAAUCUUCAAUUCGACUUGAAGUUUAGAACUUCACUUAUUACUGAAACAGUGCAAAAGCCAAGAAAAAAAAGUCUUACCAGGACUUUUGCCUAGUGAUUGACUUGGUUUUGAAUCAAUUACAUAUAUUUUCUCAAAAUCUAGGACAAAUUCAGGUCCACAGCCUUCGAUUUUGAAGUGCUUCGUCAAGAAAACCUGCAAAAGAUAAAUGAAUUGUUUGCACAUUCUUAUAUCUUUGUCCACAUUCCCAUCCUGAAGAGAAGACCAUCACAUGCAUAAUAUUCUUAAAUUUCAAACGUCGUUGAGUCAAUGAACGUCACUUUGUAUAACUAUGCUAGCUACUUCUAUUCUAACGUAUCGCGGCGAAACCUAUACUCGGAUUUACAAAGAAAUGGAAGAGUCCAUUAAAUUAUCAUCACUUUCACUAGAAAUAGAAAAAUAGAGUGAACAAUCAUCAAAUUCUUAAGUCCAACCUUACCUUAAGAACCUCCUUUUCAGACUUGUAUAAUGGAUCUCUAGGUGCAUCAAUAGGUGGUUCUAUGACAUUGUAGCAUCCAUAAUCACUCUAAGCACAUCUAAUAUACUGCAGUUGUGAAGAAAAGUAUGAUCAUACACUACUGAAAUUCCUUAAAAUCUUAUUUUGGUCCUUGAACUAUGAUGUUUGUUCCAUAUUGUUCUAUUAACUUUUAAUUAUUGUGUUUAAGUCCCUUAACCUUCAAUAAGUCAGUUUUAGUCUCAGAUUUCUUCAUCAAAUUAACUGUUAACUUACCAACCGUUCUUCCACAAAAACUUAAAUGACCGUCUGUAAACAUUUGCCGACUGACUAAAUGAACAUGCUAAAUUGAAAUCUGUUUAUAGAAAAUGAUUGAAACUUUUCACAAAGGAGAUGAACAGAGACUAGUGCUUCAACAUACAAAAGGAUACAACAAAAACAUAGCAUAAUGUAAACAAUUAACCACAGAGGAUUAAAGUAAAUGUGGUAAGACUGAAGUAAUAAGACUUCAAAAAGUAAAUGAAAACUUAGAGAGGCGUGAUAAAUGCCGGCCAAUUGCACUAGUUAUUGUUAAUGUAAAGUUAAUGAAAAUGGCUAAACUAACAGGUUAAGUUUCUGUUCAUUUGUUAGUUAAAAACUAAUGAAAAUGGUUGAAACGGGUUUUUAAUCUAGAGUUCAAGACUAAAACAUAAUAAUUUACACCAUUUUAUCAUGUAUAUAAAUGCAAAGAAAGAACAAUAAUACCUUUUGAGGCAUUGGAGGGAGCAAGAACUUUGGGGACGACAUAAACAUCAGUAUCCGGAGGAGUAACAUACAUCUACAACCAAGAAACACAUCAACGAAAACUUUUUUUAACUAUCAAAUGAAUCUGAUAAAGCCAAGUUUGAAAUGAAACUAAGCAAAUUUUGCCACUAACCUCUCUAAAAUCAUAAACAUCGCUGUUGGAAUCCGACGACUUCCUAAUGAAGAAAUGACAGUGCAUAAAACUAAUCUUAUGAAAUUCCUCCUCAUUUAUCCUAUAAUCCACAAUCAUCUCCGAAUCCCAUCCCUGUGUGAACACGAAGCUUUUGCUCUGCACAAUCGAGAUAUUCUCAUCGCCAACGUCGUCGGAACCCGCUGCUGCAGCUAUCGCGGCGACUAGGGGAUCGUACUCGAUGUCGAAAUCUUUGUUGCUGUUGAAUUCCUCCAUUUCCUCAUCGUCCAUGUCGUAGUCAUCGGGACCACCACUAUCACCGUUGCCAUCGCCGGAGAAGACUCGACAAGGGUUUCUUCUAGGGAGGAAGAGAGGAGAUGCAGAUGGAGUGGAUUUCCGAUAGGGCAGGCUUGGGAGGUGGGGAAGAGAGGUUGCGGAGGAGAUGGAGGAGACUCAAAGAUGGUUGAUUGUGGGGGGCGGCAACGACGAGGAGAGGAGGAAGACAGUGGAGUUCAUGAGGACGCAAACUCUGUUAAGCGGGCACCGAAGAAUUCGAACGCUCUUGUGUUGAGUUUGUUGAUGGACACUGUCAGGUGGAUAAUGUUAAAAAUAAUUAAAAUGAAUAUUUUUAAAAACAUUCAAAAAAAUCGUUAAUAUUAUGAAAAUGGUCAAAUACUGUCAGUUUUGGGUCUACCAUUUAAAAAAUAGCAUACAUUUUUUUUAUAUUCGUCUGUUUUUCUCACAGAGACGGCUUUUUUCACAGCUUUAGCCGAAUUCAAUUAUGAGAUUUCUUAUUUUGUAUUUAAAAUUUAAAAUAAAUGCUAUUAUACAAUUACCAAAAUAUUUUCCAGCAAACAAUUUCAUAUAGUUGUGAAAAUAGGAACUCAUUUAGGUUAAGUUUGAACUUCAUUACUCUCAAAAUCUCUUAGAUUUAUUGAUUUUUGUGUGGGCAAAAUUGUUCUGUGUAUCCUCAAGCAUUUAAGUCUUUACAUGUAUUCUGCCUUGAACAAUUUGAUAGUUUAGAGCUUUUUUAAAGUUUUGUUAUAGGUUUUUUUUUUUUUUUUUUUGAAAUAUGAGGUGGCUGGAAUAUAAGUAGUUGGAUGUGUGCAUAUCUCAUUUUUAAAUUUUUUCUGGUGGUGAUCUGAUGAAUGUCAUAAAUUUCAUCAACCUAGGCUCAUUUAGAUUAGGAAUCUCGCCUGAGAUUGUUGAAAUUGGACUGAGAUUUGUUGAAUGAGUCUUGAGAUUGUUCUACGUUUGUGUUCAUAUGCAUUAUGUGUUGGUUAUCGGGCUAGAUUUCACCCGAGAUUAACCAAGAUACAUCAUAGGAUGCAUAUAAAACACCAAUAUCGUGACAUCACAUGUAAAUAACCCAAGUACAUAGUGAAUUUAUGUUGUUCUUGACCGAGAUUGGAUCAAGAUUCCCUUGAGUUCUAAGACAAAGUACUUAUUUUCUUAUGUUACCUGUGUUCUCUGUUUGGUAAAUGCCUCUUGUCACUAAAAUUUGCAAUUCAAACAUUUUCCUUCCAAAAUUGACAUGUUCUCACUCGGCGAAAACUAUCUCCAAUAUUAAAAACAAGUUAACUCCUAGGCAAUUGUAUAUGUUUAGGAAAACUCCAUUCAAUCAUUUCUUGGACAUUAGGUUGAUGAUCAGUGGAUCUUUGUGUCAUUACAUCUUGUUAAGAGAGUUUGAGGAUGAUCGAUGUGACAUUAUCAAUUUUAAAUUUCUCAGAAGGUGUCUUUCAGACAAGAAGAUUUUGGCAUUAUUACGAGGUUGAGGUUGAGGUUGAGGUAUAGGUGAAGACAUGUUGUUGAGUUUGAACAGGAUAAAAGCUCUUAGAUUGAGACGCUUAUAUUUGGUUGGUAGGGCAAACAUGAAUGGGUCUAAAUUGGGUAAAGAUUACCAAAACCUUCAAUUUGAGAGUUACAAGCCUACGGUAUGAACCAUUUUUGUUCUUCUAAAGUUAUUUUUGUCACGAAUGAAUUAACCAUUUCUGUUCAAAUACCUAUAGUGACAAUAUUUUUUUAUAUUUUAUUAAGUUAUAUUUUCGAAACAAGAGUAUUUUAUGAUACAAAACAUUAAAGUUUUUCAUCUAAAUGCAACUGUAAGGGGCCGUUUGGGGGAAAGAAAUGAAUAAGGGGGAAAAGAAUAAGGAAAAUGGGGGAUUAAGUGGAGGAAAGGAUUAUUAUAAUCCUUGUUUGAGGGAAGGAUUAUGAGGAUUAUUUAUAAUCUUUGUUUCGGAAAGGAUUAAGUGGAAUGAUUGUGAGAGAUUAUUUAUAAUCUGGGAGAAGAUUAUGUCAGAAGGAUUAAAACCAAAAUUGUAUUUUUUUUAUUAUUAUUUAUACAUUAACCUGAAUAUGAGAUUAAAUGUAGAAUUGUUUUUUUUCGUGUGAAUGAAAUUCUUUGUUUUUUUCGUGAACCCUAUACAAAAUGAAAAAUGUGCUAAUAUAUGUUGCAAACUUUGUUGAUACCGUUAAAGCCUCAACAAAAAAUUGUAUUCAAAUUAAUUUUUUUAGUUAACCGUAACCCAAGCGUUCACAAAAAACACGAAUUGAUUUUUUUUUUGUUAAUUUUGUAUAAAUAUUUUUUUUACUACAAUAUCCCUAAUACACUUUCAAAAUUGAAUUAGAUGUUUUCCAUGUGUACGAUAUGCUUAUGGAAUGAUUUCCAUAAACCAAAUACAAAAUAAAAUAUGUAUUUAAAUCAAAUUCAACAUUUAAAUCAAAUUCAAAGUUCGAGUUUUUCAAGCCCAAAGUCAACAUUUUGACUUUUAACCAUUUUGUCCAUCUUGACUAAUUUCAACCUUCCAAGCAUCAAUUCGUAUAAAUUUAUCCAAAAUUUAAAUCACAUUUGAAUAUAAAGUCAUCCAAAGUUUGAUUUUUCAAAGUCAAAAGUCAACAUUUUGACUUCUUACUUCUUUACCAUUUUCAUCAAUUUUGAGCUUCCAAAUAUGAAUUCAUAUUCAUAUUUAAAUUACAUUUAAACAUGAAGCUUUAUCUUAAAUUAUAAUCGAUGACUAUAUUCUAAUUCUAACAAUUCGAAUUAUUCCAUCAUAAUGUUCUAAGUUGAUUCCUUAUGAGCUAGUGGGGGAACCUAAUGGAUCUAUAGAUCAAGGGUUCAACGAUCUGAGAUUAACCGACUAAACUGUUUAGAUCGAGUUAAUCAACCUUCGUUAACUAAUGAGUCAUUCCACUAAAGUCCCGUAGUUGCACUCCCUCACUAUAGAUAUAUUUGUGUCCAUGUGAUAUGACAUGAUAAGUAAGUUAAUCUUUCACAAGUUGUUCAUGAUCUCGACUGGGUCAAAGCACUGUUUUACCCCGACAUUAUAUCUUUUUUCUUUAAGUCCCACUGAUCCACUAUUAAAUAAUUGGUUUUAGGUCCAACCUAUAAACUGAAUCCUCUCGGGCCAAUGAAAGGGUGGGACCCUUGUUCAAGACUUGGAUUCAAUCAUUAAGGGAACAACCUAUCUACUAACCCUAGAGUGGUAGGAGUGAAUUCCGUCUUGCACCCUAUGUCCCUAGCUAUCCACCCGAUCUUACCCCUGAAAUGGGAGGCUUAUUGAGCCAACGCCAUUGAGCUGCCCUCACUUAUGCAGAUCUAUCAAUAAUUUCACGUGAACAGAAGUUCAUAGUUAGCUCAUUUUUAAGAUUAAGUUACAUUGGAUAUCUAUAAACGAAAUAGUCAGUUUUACAAAGUUAACGGUGUUAUAACUUAAAAGCGACUAUCUCAUGGUUCCAGUCUUAUGUCAACUCUUUACAUAGAAUGCCCCCACUUCCAUGUCUCUUACCCUAUUUUAGCGACUUACCCUAUUUUAGCGACUUCUAUAGGUCGAGCUAUUCAAACCUCUCUUGAAUUCUUGUAAACAAAGGGAUCAGUCAAGAAUCCAAAAUAGUUAUUAACACACACCGUCGUAAAGAGAGAGAGAAAUUCCCUUAUUAUCAUAAUCCUUUUUUCGUGAUCGAUCAUCUCUCAAGAAUAUCUCUGUCUUAUGGCACCUCUCCUUUCCAACUAAAGAAAGUCAAAGAAGAGGAGUAGCAACUUCUCAGGGAUCUCAGUUCUGCAAAAGCUAGAGAAAGCCUAUGCAAAAUCAACCACAACAGCAAAAGAAUGUCCUUCAGCAGCAAGGUGAAAAGGAAUAUUGCAUCCUUCAUUGAUUUGCUUAAGGGGCUAGUUAAGGAGUCUCCUCAUUUAACCUCUCAUUCUCAAAGUUCGCCUCUCUUAUGCUUUUUGAUCGAUCUGAGAUGAGAACAACUAUGAUUAAGACAAUGAUUGCAUAAGGAAAGACAGACCCUAUCGUUAGAGAUAUUCCCUACUCAAUUUGGAUCCAAGGGAAAGCUUCUUCUUGAAAUAGUACUUUUGACUACUCACUUUCAGUGAUCGUAACCUAAUGGAUGGAAGAAUUUCGUACCUCCUCAAAGGAAAGAUUACAUUGGGGUCCGUCCCACUCUUUCAAGGCCUUUCUUCUCAGGCAUAAAGAUAGGGCUUUCUUUAGCACUAUUGUGAUUUACUACUACAGGGUAGUGUAGGCUACCGUCCUUAUGCUUUUCUGUGGAUUUAGAAAGCACUUGAACAGUUUCCACAUUCGCUGUGAAAUGAGCUCCAACAAACUUUCCUUUCUUCCUUUGAGGCCUGAGACAGGUCAAUGAAUAAGGGCUACAAUUCUUAUAGUUCAUAAAGAAAUUCACUCUUUAGUCUAUUCCCAAUCCUAGUCCUUUGAGAUUCUUUAGGUUCUGUGUACUAGACGUCGUCGACCUCUCAAACGUGGAAAAGACUCUUUCCUCACUCAUUGAGCUUGAAAAAGUAGCCCACGUGGCGGUAUUCAGUCUUCACCCCCACUCUGCGGUUGAGGCAUUUGUUCUCGAAGGAGAAGGAUAGUCGCUCAACAAAGUUUACGAACAAGAAGGCGCCAUAGGCGGGAACAAAGAAUAUUGCUCAAAGGUUUUAGCUUUAUUUCUAUGUGGGCCACUCUUUUUCCAUGGAGGCAAGGACCAUCUCAAACUACCUUAGAAGAGGCAGGAAUUAAGAGCAGUGUCUGCUCUCGUGGCGGCCUUAUCUCUUCUUAUGGCACUUCUACCAUUGGAGGUUUCAAUCCUUCUUCUUUUGAAAGAGAAAGAUGCCUUAUGCAUGCAUUGGCCUCUAGCAUAUUUCUUUAUUUAUUGGUCAUAUGUCAAUUUUUCUCCCCUGGUUUUUCUUUCUAUUUGCCUUAUCAAAUAAGAAGCGCAACCCUCAACAAAGGCGACACCUUAAACAAGGGCUACUGCCUCUCCCUCUACAUCCCUUUCCUUUCUUUAAUGGGGAAAGAUUGUCAGAGAUCUUAUUCAAGAUCUAAACUCUGGAAAGGAGUGCCUCCUUUCCUUUCCCUUCGCCUUCAUAAGUCAGGCUAUGAAAAUAGAUUGUAAGUGAACCGCUUACCAUUCAGACUGAUCUAGGAGACGGGUCGAGGUGUGGAGUUUUCUUCUUUCUUGCUUUGAUAUGUCCCACGGUCUUUUGAGCUAGUCUACUUUCUCUCUGCGAUUAGCUUCAGAAACUACCCCACUGAGAGGUGGAGUAUAACCUUUCCGGGAGAUCGAUACCCUGAUCUCGCUCAAGUAAUAAGAAGAUAAAGUGCUCAAGACUAUGUAAGAAGAUAUGAAAAAAAAUUGAAUUUUGAAAGCUCUGAUCUUUCAUACUCUUAAUUAUAUCCACGAAGCGGUAGGCUGAGCACCUUGAUGUAUAGGCCUUAUGAAUAUGAGCGAUAGCUUCCGAUAUGGAAAGGGGAAAGCAGGACCCACUUGAGGGUCAAGAAAUAAGAAGAGAAGAUAGAGUAAAGUCGAGUCCUCUAAUUCUCAUCUAUUUCUCCAACUUCGUCUCCUCAACUGCGUAAACUGUAGGUCUCUUUCUUCUCCUCGUUCAUAAUGCACACCUCUUCCCUUCUCAUAAUAAUCUUUUGAAUAGUCAAGAUCAUCAUAAAAAGCCUUGUUAGUCUUGUCUCAACUUCUCCUACUCACUCGAGCCUAACUACUCUCCUUCUCUUCUUUCAUACUAAGUUGAUAGUGAAAAGAGAGAAAAUUACUAGUUGGGACUUCGACCUUUAAUCAUAGAUCUCAUGAAAGAGAUAAGGCUACUUCUCUUUCUACAACUGAAAGAAGAAGAAUCGCGACUGCCAAAAUCCCUCCACGGGAUGAAAAUAAUACUUUUAUUUAUCCACAUUGAUAAAAGAAAGUUCAAUAUUCUUUUUUUAGUGGAAUAACACUCGUCCUCUUACAUACUCGUUCUUCCAGUCGUCUGAACCAAGAAUAUCCUCGUCUUAUGGAGCUUUGUCUCUGCGCAAACAUUAAUUUUCAUAGUCGAAUAAAAUAUCAAAAGAGAAAGAGAGAAUCAUUUAUGAAGAAGAAAUCAUUCUCAAGCUCUUCUUUUUCUCUCUCUUCUCAAUGAAUCGAGUCUUCGAACCUGCGAAAGUGCUCAAGAUUAUUUAAGAUAGAAGAAUGAAAUAGUAGUUUCUCAAGCUCUUAUUAAAGACAUAAGUCGUUUAUUACCACAUUCCGAAAGAGAUUAUGAAAGAGAAAAGAUAAAUGAAUGAAAUAUUCCUAAUCCAUAAAUCUCAGGUGAAGGACUAAUCAAAUGAGUUCAAAGAGAAGAAGAGGUCAAUUGCAAAAAAGAAUGAACUUAUGAGCUGGAGAUGGAAGAGCGAAGAAGAUAGGAGGCCAAGCCAAGAGUCAUCAAGAAGCCGUCGGAUCCCAAAAAGAAAGGUCUAGAUGAAAAGGAAGAAAAGGAAAAGGCCGAGUAUUUUGUCCUAGUUAAGCCUAAGACCUAGGUGAAUGAAUCUUGAAGGGUGCGUGAUUUGCCUAUUAGGUAGUAGUAGUCUUGGUUUCAUUGUAUUCCCCAUGUCGAAAGGAAGUUCAGCCUAGGGUUAGGUGCUUUUUCCUUAUUUAGCCCAUGGAGCAGAGCAUAUGAGUCCUUUCAUGUAUCAGAGUUGCUACAGAAGAUCGACUGACUCGAUCCUCUGAUCCUACUCUACAUCACAGAGAAAUAAAGCAAAAAUCUUCUUUCCCACGCACCUCACGUCAGCUAAGGUUAUUCUUUCUUCCCAUAUAGUGGGCUGACUUUGCACCUAAAUGAUAGAACUAAGUCAUGCACAGCGGAAAAAGAAUCGAAUUUCUACCCUAAUUGCCACAAUUAACAUGUAACCAUAAACUAAUCAAAUUAGGGUUUUAAGAAAUAUUACCUUUGAAGCUUUCAAAAGGUUUGAUAUCUUCUUACCAAUUCUAACCGAGACCACCACUAGUACUCAACUGCUAUCCUCUAGACAAAGAACCGGGUUGUGGGACCCAACUUUGGUGUAGAAAGUAAUGGAGAUAAAAUGGGAUUGUAAGGUUUUUUUUUUCUUUUGUUGAGAUGAUGAAAAUGAUAAAAGAGGCAAAAGUUCUUCAACAUUUGAAAUCACCUCUAUUUAUAACCUAAUUACAUGCAAAAAUGCAUGCAAUUCAUUUGCCAAAUCUCAACCCCUAAUGUUCCACUAACAAUUAGUGGAACUUAGUGGGCUAGGUGUCUAUAUCUCAUAUAGCCACAUAUCCCACUAAGAGUUAGUGGGAUUAUCCAAUAAAUGUUGGAUUUUCCCACUAACUUAGUCCAAGGGUAAAAUGGUCAUUAGAUAUUUCUAGUCAAAAGUCAAACUUUGACUUUUCUUAGUCAAAAGUCAAUAUUUUGACUUUUUACCAUUUUGUCCGUCUUGACUAAUUCCAACCUCCCGAGCAUGAAUCCGCAUUCAUUUUUCCAAAAUUCAAAUCACAUUUGACUAUAACGCCGGUCAAAGUUUGACUUUUCAAAGUCAAAAGUCAACAUUUUGACUUUUUACUAUUUUUGACCAAUUCCAUCAAUUUCGAGCUUCUUAGUAUGAAUCCGCAUUCAUACUUAUAGUAUGUAAAACAUAAAAGCUCUAUUUCUAAUUAGAAGACCGACGACUAUAUCACUAUAUUUGUCGGUUUUCCUUUCUUCUCCCAAGUAUAGUGACAUUUGGGAGAAGAAAGGAAAACCGACAAAUAUAGUGAUAUAGUCGUCGGUCUUCUAAUUAGAAAUAGAGCUUUUAUGUUUUACAUACUAUAAGUAUGAAUACGAAUUCAUACUAAGAAGCUUGGAAUUGAUGGAAAUGGUCAAAGUUGUAAAAAAUCAAAAUGUUGACUUUUGACUUUAGAAAGCCAAACUUUGACCGACCUUAUAUUCAUGUGAUUUGAAUUUUAGAAAAAUGAAUGCAGAUUCAUGCUCGGAGGUCGGAAUUAAUCAAGAUGGACAAAAUGGUAAAAAGUCAAAAUAUUGACUUUUGACUUGAAAGGUCAAUUGACCAUUUUACCCUUGAACUAAGUUAGUGGAAAAAUCUAACAUUUUGUUGGAUAAUCCCACUAACUCUUAGUGGAAUAUGUGGCUACAUGAGAUGUAGACACCUAGCCCACUAAGUUCCACUAAUUGUUAGUGGAAUAUUAGGUAUUGAGAUUUGGCAAAUUAAUUACUUGCAUUUUUGCAUCUAAUUAGGUUAUAAAUAGGGGUGUUUUCAAAUUGUUGAAAUUUUUUUGGCAUUUUUCUAGUAAUUAGAAAUUACUAUUUUUUCAUACUCCAAUAUCUCAACCAAAAAUUUCUACCUUCCAAUUUCAUUUUAUCUCCUUUAUUUUCUACACCAAAUUGGGUCCCACAACCCGGUUCUUUGUCUAGAGGGAUAGUAGGUGACUACUAGCGGUGGUCUCGGUUUGAAUUGGUAAGGAGAUCUCGAAGAUUUUCGAAAGCUUCAAAGGAAAUAUUUCCUAAAACCCUAAUUUGAUUAGUUUAGGGUUACAUGUUAAUUAGAGGCAAUUAGGGUAGAAUUUCGAUUCUAUUUUCGCUGUGCAUGUCUUAGUUCUAUCAGUUCAUUGAUUGUGUACUAAUCAAAAGAGCUUGAACUCCGAAAAUCUACUCUAACCUAUCUUUAGAUAUUAUGUCACUCAAAGCGAUCAUGCAAGAUGGGUUUCAGAAAUGGUGACUCAAUGGACUCCUUCUCUGUCUUUUCCCUAUAUGGUUCCCUCAUAAGUAAAGUAAAGUCAUCUUAGCCUCAAUGAACAAGGACUCGAGCCGCCGUUUCCAUAACAGAAGUCGCUAUUGAAACCAUCAGAUAGUUCAUUAUAGCAUUUAAGAAAGAAACUCGGUUUGAAAUCUAAGAUUGACAACUAUUUUUUCCAUUAAUCAGUCCUUCGUUUUUUUAGUUCUCUCAUCAUCAAAUUUCAUUGAUCUAUCGCUCUAUAUGAGCCUAAUGGAGCGGUUUUGCAAUAUACUUUUUGCCUAUGGACCAUCCGAAACACUAAUCUUUCUUCCUUUGCUAUGCCCAUAUGAACUAAUAGAUUUUUCGCAUUUCCGGCCGAUCAUUACAAUGCGAGUCAAAGGGGUUAAAAGUCGCGCGCUCAAUAGAGACCCUUUAUGGGGGAUUCCAGUUCGACAACAAGUGAAAAGAAAGUAGCAGCAGGUUGAUCGCUAACAUAUGAGCCUUUUCGCUUGGGUGCUUUCUUCAUCCAUCGUACAAAAGUACUUGAAUCCAUAGAAUGUGAAAACUCUAAAUUAUCCGAAAAGGAAGAACGAAAGCAGAAUCCCCAUCCCAUUGACAAAGACUAACGAUUGUGAACACUUUAAGAUUGAACAUGGAACAAAAUAAAACCACUGACAAUGAAGAUCAAAGAGAACACAUGGAAUGAUCGUUUCAAUCAAAACAAUAUGAUAUCGGGAAAAUAACUAAUCAUCGGCACGCGAAUAGAAGGAAGAAAUAUUACCUCGACCCUACCUUGCUCGAAACCACCAAAGGGAAAAAUAUUACCUCGACCCUACCUUGCUCGAAACCACCAAAGGGAAAAAUGUAAGGUUUAGAAAAUCGGUGUGGAUCAAAAUACCGUGAAGAAGAUGAUGUUGAACGUGGAGAAAAACCAGUGAGUGCCAAAGAGGGUAAAAAUACUGUAAGAUCUAGGGAAGUAGGUUGAGAGAUAGAUCAAUUUUGGGGAAUAGAUUUCGGCAAAAUAGAGAGAGGAAAAGUGUGUAGAAGAAGAGAGAACCAUUGGUCGAGCGGAUGUAGAAGGAAUAAGGAUGAUUAAAUUUAGUCAUUUCCGUGAGUCAAUUUCUUUGGAAUAACAAGAGAUAUAUCAACGUUUUUAAGGGUCAUUUUGAAAAAUGGCAAAACUACUUUUUCUUUUAAAUUUUAGCAAAUAACAUUUUUUGCACGUGCAUUAUAUUUUAUAAAAUACCAAAAUAUCUCCUUCUCCAACUAUAAUUAUUUCGUUUCUACAUUGUACUUAAUUUAGGUUAUUCAUUUAUCUGCUUUUAAUUAUUUUUUACCUCGAAAAGAUACAGCAACCCAUAUCAUAACUUUUUUUUCUUAAUAUCUCGGGACUCAACUAAUUGAUUCAACAUUUUAAUAACUUUAUUCAAUCUACUAAUUUCAAAAUAACCAAAUUGACUUUGAAUUUCAAAAUAACCCAAUUAAAUUUCAAAAUAACAAAAUUAUUAUUUUUCAGAAUUUGAGAAUCUGAACGAUAGAUUUUGUAUCAAAAUAACAUUAAUUAAAUUUCAAAAUUAAAAAAAUAUCACUUUGUUUGCUAUCUUAUCUCAAAAUAACAUUAAUGGCUUGAAUACCAAAAUAACUCAAUUAUUAUUUUGAAAUGGGGAGAAUCUCAACCUUAAUUUUAUUUUAAAAUAAAUUUCAAAAUAACCAAUUUAUUAAUUUUUGAAUUGGAGAAUCUCAACUAUUGAUUUUAAAACGCAAUUUCAAAAUAACCCAAUUAUUAUUUUGAAUUUAGAAGAAUUUCAACCAUUGAUUUUAUUUCAAAACAACGUUUUAAUACCAAAAUAACAUUGAGCUCAACCACCAAAAUAACCAAUUUAUUAUUUUGAAUUAAAAUUUUAUUGUCAUUUUUUUCAAGUGAGAACUUGCUUAUUUGUUUGUUUUCCAAUGUUUCUUAUUCUUAUUAAAUUAUAAUUAACUUAUUCUAAAAAUAUAGCAUAUUAUAUAUAUAUAAAAACAAUUAGUUUAAUUGUGUUUAGGAAGAUUUUUAAACCAUGUUCAUUUGACUUAAUAACAUUACUUAAAUUAUAAUUUCUAUCGAUAUUAGUUUAAAAGUGUAAUUAUUUCAAUAUACUGCGGUCUUAUCAAAAGUCUUUUAUGUGUAAUUAAUUUGCAAUAGACAGUUCUGAGUUUAUCAAAGUUUUUCAUUAUAAUUAAUUUAUGAUAUGCAAUUAUGAGUAUGCGUGUUAAUAAGGUAGAGAAUCAUAUCCUAACCUCUUCCUAAUAUCUCGGGAUUAAAAAAAUAUCAAUAACUUUAUUCAUUUUUUUAUUUCACCACUAUUAAAGUUCUUAACAACUUUAUUCAUUUUUUUAUUUCAAAAUAAUCAUAUUAUUAAUUUUUAUUGGCUAAAUCUAAUCUUUUCGUCAAUCUUUAAUAAAUUGUAAAUUAAAAUUAGUUUUCUAAUUAGAUCUUAAUUUACUUUUAAAUUUUGAAUUUGAAAAUUAAAAUUAGUUUUUGUACGAAGAUCUCAAUUUUUUUUUAUUAUUUGGAAAUUAAACCUCACCCUUUUUUUGUUUCAAAAUAAGUUGAAUCUUUUGAUCCUUAAUAAUUUAAAAAUUAAAAUUAGUUUUCAUAUUAGAUCCUAAUUUAUUUUUCCAAUAAAAUAGCAUAAGAUAUUGUGUUUUUGUAUAAAAUCUCCCAAAUUUUAUUAAAUAAUUAAUAUAAAUAUAUAUAUAUAUUUAAAAAUCAGCAAAAAAAUUUAUAAGAGACGAGGAAGAUAACUUUUGUAUCUUUUUAAUAUUAUGAAAAUUUUAAUAUGAAUUAUUAAAAACACAAAAAAAAUAUCUUGUUUUGUUGUUUAUGUCUCAAUCUACAAAAUUUAGGAGUAUUAAUAUUAGAAUAAAAUUUAUAAUCUACCUAAAUUUUGUCAAGUAAAAUCUUUAAUUAAAACAAAUAUGAAGUUAAAAUAUUUUUAUAAGGGAUUGAGCUAAGAAAGCAGUACUCUUUGACGUAGUCUAGCUAUUAAGAGGGAAAGCAAAGUUCUCUUAGUUUUUCUUAUUUAUUCGCGUUCUUCUCAAUAAAUAACAAAUCAAUUCUAUCUUUUUUUCUUUUUAACCGUCGAGAACUUCUCAAAGAUUAACCUUUUAAAAUAUUUAAAAAAAUACAUUGAAUUUAUAUUUUGUUUAAUUAUAGAUUUUAUUUGGAAAAUUGUGAAAGAUAAUGUUUGUUUAUAAUAUAUUUAUAAAAAUAUUGAACUUUUAAAAAUAUUUAUAAAAAUAUAUUGAAUUUAUAUUUUGUUUUAAUUAUAGAUUCUAUUUAGAUAGAUAUUAUUAGUUUAGAAAAUAUUUAUCAAAAUUUUGAAUUUUUGAAAAUAUUUAUAAAAAUAUAUUGAAUUUAUAUUUGUUUUAAUUAAAGAUUUUACUUGACAAAAUUUAGGUAGAUUAUAAAUUUUAUUCUAAUAUUAAUACUCCUAAAUUUUGUAGAUUGAGACAUAAACAACAAAACAAGAUAUUCUUUUUUGUGUUUUUAAUAAUUCAUAUUAAAAUUUUUGGAGUGAAGGUUUUUGUUUUUCCACUCCAAGCGUUUGAGAUUGUAGGUUGUAGACUUGAAAAUCAAAGAUAGAAGAUGAAAAAUGAGAUAAUAUUUGCAUGCUUCAAAUGUUUAUAUUAUUUUUUUUGAAAAUGCAUGAUGAAGUUUCUUUUUUAAAAUGCAUGAUGGAGUUGAAGAUAAACUUCAAACGGAAGAGGGUAGAGAUUGGAGGUUGCCGCUUCAAGGUGGAAAGAUUAGGGUUUGUCCACUCGAGAAAGAUGAGAUCAAAAAAGAAAAAUGGAUAUGAAGGAAGAGAAAAUGGAAGAUGAGAAACGAAAAAUAAAAAAAAAAUGUAUUUAUUAUAUUUUAGGGUAGUUUACACUUUAUCUACUUAAUGGUAUUUUGGGUUUUUGCAAAUUCUUAUUUAUUGUUUUUCUUUUUUUCAUUUGGUCAUUUUUUAACUUUAAAAUUGCUAUUAUUCUUUAAAAGUAUGUUUUUGGAAAUUUUUUUAGAUACCAACGCGAAGCACGAAUGUGAAGGCUCAACUUCCUUUCACAAAACCCUUCAGCCAUUCACACUCUCAAUCUUUCAUCCCUCCAAUUUCUCACAAAAUCCUCUCUCUCGUCGGACUUCCAUCGACACAGAAAGUAAUCGAAGCAACUCUCCAACUUCUGAAGCCCAAACCAUUUGCUGGAGCUAAUGUGUUCGUCUCUCGUAAUCUUGUCGCUUCGGAGAUGUUCGAUCCUUUUCACGACGCUCUCAAGCAGAAUGGGGCUGAGGUUUUCCUCUGUUGCGAUCCCUCUCAAAACGCCCCUAACGACUAUCAUGUUAUCUCCUCCGCCGAUCACGUACCAAACGUCUCAUCCAUUUCUUGUUCAAUUUAUAUGGCUACUUCGGAUUGGCGAUGUGUUUAUUGGUUGUUGAUUCCUGCUUUCAGGCAAAGUUCGAGGAUCUUCGCGCCAAGGGAUGCAACUUGUUAGGUAUAGUUAAUUUGUAGUUCCAGCCUUUUCUUUCUUUCUUUUGCGGAAUAGAAUUGGAGAGAAAUUUUCACUGGAGAACGAGAUUAACAGGAAAUUGAAUGUCUCCGUUAAUUUGUCAAAUGUAUAGUUACCGCAUUGCAGUUAAUAUUUGUCAGUGCAUGCUGCAUGUACGCAGUAGCCGAGUAAUAUAUACUUCACUGCUCUCUCUUUCCGAAUAGCCAAACAUAGUUGUUUGAAAUUCUCAUUUCAGUCCGACGCCGGGGAUUUGGUGCGUCGCUGACAACUUGAAUUUCUGUUGGGAAGGUCCUCAGUGCGUGAUGUCAUGUGCAAAAAGAGCACAGACCUCUUCCUCAACAGGGUUAUACUUGCUGCCUUGCCAUGGAUGGUGUGAAAAUCUUGGCAUCCGGUUUUCAGGAAGAUGAAAAGGUACGUGCAAAUGUUCCUAGUCCACCCAUCUUUUUUCUUAUUAGUAAUUAGUAAUUUUAUUUUUGUAGAACUAAUGACACAAAAUUGCAUUGCAGGUUGAGAUAGGGAAGUUAGUUAGUGCAAUGGGGGGAGUAUUGCAUACGAAAGCAUCACUAGAUGUCAGUUUUGUUAUCGCGAAGAAUGCUUUGGCUGCGAAAUACAAGGUCGUGUUGCUUGAACUUUCGAUUUUCUUGACGUGAUAUGUAUGUGUAUUAGACCAUUUCAUGAAUAUCACGUGAAUCAUAAGAUUUGAGUCAAUUAAACUCCACAAAAUUCAUUUUUCAAUCAAUUUAGACCUUUAAUCACGGUUACCUUUAAAUUGAUCUAAUUGAUAUAACAUAAGUUUCACACGAAAUUUUUCAAAAUGAAUGUAAUAGAGGGCGUAAAUUGAUACACUAACAAAAGCCAGGUUUAAAUUGAUACAAUCUCUACAGUUUAGGGUGUAAAUUGAUAUUCUCCCUUAAUUUAAUUGUUAAAUGCGUAAUAGACUUAAUAAUGGUUUUUAGUUUUAUUCUACCUGAAAUGUUACUGCAAAGGUUUUGACAGAUACUUUCAUAUUAUUUUCUCUGUUUUCAGUGGGCACUAAACAUUUCAAAGAAACCAAUCGUGUCAUUUUCUUGGUUACAACAAUGCUGGAUUGAACAUCGUGUUGUGCCUCAGGAGGGAUAUCGGGUCCUUCCAUUUUCUGGAUUGAAUAUUUCGGUAUCUGGAAUUCCUGCAGGUUGUGUUUUAUAAUAUUUUAUUUCUUCUUAGAGAAAAUUUUUUCUUGUAUUUCUUCUUAUUUAUGGUCCUCUUGGGGACAUCCGAUAAAAUUGUGUUAGUUCCAUCAUUCUGGGUCUCAGGUGAGCAAGGAGAUGGCAAAGCUUAUCUUGCAAAAUGGUGGAAGAUAUUCUGCCGAUCUCACAAGAAAGUGUACACAUUUGAUAUGUGAUAUAUCCUUUUUGCAUUUUUUUUCUUGGCGUUACUUUUGAUCUUUUCGCUUCUUCUUGUUUGAAGCACUCAAAUUUAUGUGCUGGAAAAACAUCUUACUGCAGCUUAAGUUACAGAAUAAAUGGAUAGGGAUAAUAAAUACUACUAAAAGAAUUAACUUUGAACAAUAUGUCUUGGGAUCUUUCAUAAGGGCCUCUAUUUCUUUUCAAGUGCUAUUAUUGGCAGUAUUUGACCGUAAUAGUUGCAACUGCUUUAGUUUGUUUCAUUGUAUUUUGAGCAUUAGUCUCUUUAAAUUUUACCAAGGAAAAGUCUUGUAUCUUAUUUAUUUGAAAUUGGAUCAACACUGAUUAUAUGAUUAUUAACUCAAUCAUUCAUUAUUCCUUCUCUUCCGGUAGUAAUGACCCUUCCCAUUGUCAGGCGAUUCACUUAUGAUGAUAACUAUUCUUUUAAUGAUCUUUAAUGGCUGUAUUUUCUUUUCCAUAUCUCUUAGAAUAAUCCUAAAAGGAUGUGAGAUUGACACGAAUGAGGUACGGCCUUAUCGAGAACAAAAUUGAUCACUUUUUGUCCCUUGACAAUCUCUCUAGUUUCUAGUUGAGGUUAAGUGAUGGGAAUGACUAACCACACUCACAAACGUUUAUUUGUAUGGCCAUUGCAAGCAUGCUGCUUGCAUAGACAAUCCAUUUCUAAAUAGUUGCAUAGAAUGUUUACUUAUUGUAUUAAAUAUUCUUGUUUGAAUAAGAGGUUUUCUUUAAUGGUUAAGUAAG